UUCUUUCCAUGAAGCUCUCCCCGCUGGAAGAGCCGGUGUCUGCCCCGGGCGCCCAGCCUGAGAAGUGAGGAGAGAAGGGGACUCUGUGCCCCGGAGUUUGGGGAGUCCCGCCUCAGCCUGCUUUCAGGGAAGUCCCUCUCUGCGGUCUCGAGUGGUUCACCCGAGGUCUCUGGGAGGGGGCUGUCCAGCCUAGGGGUCUCCCAGAGCUGAGUAGUCACCGCGUGAGGAGCCCUUGAGGAGCCCCGCCGGACCCCAGGUUCCACGGAGCUCAUCUCGGAGACUCGGGGCUGGAUUUGGAGGCCACGGGACAGGUUGCCUCCCACGUGUGAUCAGCAGAUGCAGACCGAAGUGCUUUUAGCUCCUAAGGUGUGCUGGAAAGUGCCAGAAUGUGGUUAAAACCACGGGCCGGGAUGAUGUGAACUGGGGGGAAUGUCAUCCGUCUGGCUUCCUGCUGCCCACCUGCUUGCCUCAGGGACCCCCACCUCCUUCUCGCUGCCGGCUCCUCCUGAGACCCAGGCCUUGGUUCCUGCCUUCUGAAAUGAAGAGAGCACGAGGGUGCAAUCCAGAGGCCACGACUCCCACUCAGGAAGGGCCUUGGCUGCUCGCUCGCCGCUUUUCUAGAAAGGUCGCUGAAGAUUGGCGCACCCCAGGCUUGCAGUGGGGAGUCCUGGAUGCAGGGAGGGCGGACGCGGGUGUAGCGUUUGGCGGGGAGCACGGGGCUGUUCGGAAAUUGCUGCCUGAGAUUCCAAACCCUUCUGCGUGAACUCUCCCAAAAAAGUGCUCAGUUGAAAAAAGCCAGGCUCCUUCGUGGGGGAAGUUUUCAAACCCUCCAGGUUUCCCUGGUAACGCCCGUUUGCAUGCAGAACGGGAAGUGACCUCACGGGGCACCCAGGGCUUCUAGAGACCUCUUCCCAAGCGCAGACCCCGGGAGAAGGGUUAACAGCCCUGCCAUGUUCUCGUUAAAUCCGUCUUGUUCCGCCCUAACUCCGAGCUUGCACAUACUUUUCAGUGCAUUGAACCGGGGCCACGGUGAUUUGUUUUUCCCGGACUCAUUUCCAUUUAAAUCUGCUGCCCUUCGAGCCCCGGGUCUUGCAUAAUGCAAGAGCUCUUGAAGUGAAAUCAAUCGGAGCUUGAAGGAAAUGGAUGUGUAUUCACGUCUUCUGGGGGGCUUUCUGCCCAGCACCUCGGAGCUCAUGGUGUUCAAUCCCUGAUGGCACGAGUGUGCCCGUGCCCGCAUGUGCAGAGGCUGGGCGGCACAAGGCAGUCGGUGUCCCGGGUUCAAAUCCCCUUCUUCCUGCUGCUGUGCGGCCUUAGUGACUUCCCUGACCUCCCUGUGCCUCCCUUUCCUGAUCAAUAAGCAACAAGCAGGGUGGCCCCUCAUCUCACCAGGCUGCCAGGGAACUCAGUCAUCAGGUUUGCAGAAAA